GGGGAUGUUUGGAUUCGACAGGGGUGUAGGGUACGAAACUGCAGGUCGGGGCGCCUAGUCCUCGUUAACAAUGGGCAACGCCAUAAACGGCGAGCCAAAUUACGCUCUAGCCGCCUAAUUUAGCGUGGCUACGUUCGCCCGGUCCCUGCUCCGGUGGGAGCGGUGCGAGCGUCGAAAUACCGGAGUGCUGUGCUAGUGCCCGCCGGGGCGCGAACACCUAAGACUGAUCCGGCUGGCCCGGUGAUUCCCCGCUGGUCGGGGCCCACCGGGUAAGACUCUAAAGGCCAGAUAUACCUGUAGUAGGUUUCGACGCGAAACUUCUGGACGGGGGUUCGAAUCCCCCCAUCUCCACCA
rnacentral:tmRNA from 1 species